CCCCUCUCUGGAUCACACCUGGAGAGUUUCCAGUACUCUACCAGUCUCGAUUACAAGACGGAGAGUCUAGCAGAGGCAUAUCCAUUCCAUUUCUAGCUUGGGCAGUAGCUAGCAAGUGGAAGGCAAAUUGCUACAGGU